GACGAACGCUGGCGGCGUGCUUAACACAUGCAAGUCGAACGGAAAGGCCCUGCUUUUGUGGGGUGCUCGAGUGGCGAACGGGUGAGUAACACGUGAGUAACCUGCCCUUGACUUUGGGAUAACUUCAGGAAACUGGGGCUAAUACCGGAUAGGAGCUCCCGCGGCAUGGUGGGGGUUGGAAAGUUUUAGCGGUUGGGGAUGGACUCGCGGCUUAUCAGCUUGUUGGUGGGGUAGUGGCUUACCAAGGCUGUGACGGGUAGCCGGCCUGAGAGGGUGACCGGCCACAUGGGGACUGAGAUACGGCCCAGAUCCCAACGGGGGGCAGCGGUGGGAAAUAUGGCACAAUGGGCGGAAGCCUGAUGCGGCAACGCCGCGGGCGGAAUGACGGCCUUCGGGUUGUAAACCGCUUUCGCCUGUGACGAAGCGUGAGUGACGGUAAUGGGAAAAGAAGCACCGGCUAACUACGUG
rnacentral:rRNA from 1 species